CAAAUAUGGUUUUGUACUGAAGAAUGACUAAAUCAAAAUCAGCAGUUUUUUUACAGUGUUAUAGUCACACAAAUCUCAUCCAAUAUUUAGUUGUUUUUUUUGAGAUGCUUUUUUAGACAACUUUAAAAGUGGGGACAGAGAAAGAAUAUAUGUAACAGUGUGAAAGAAGGUUUAUAUUUAAAUCCCUCUAAAAGGGGAGUACGCCAUCUGCUGUCGUAGUUUGUAACUGCACCUGGGAUACGCAGCACAUUACGUGAGGUAAUGUUGUUUAUAUCGCUGUAUGAAAUGCAAUGUUAACUAUAAAUAUUAGUAUAAACCGAGUGAGAGUUGGGCUGACUGUGUGAACUUCUAUAUUCUGUGUCCUGGAUUCAUUUCGCCAUGGUUUUAUCGAGCUCAUUCUGUCCUGUCCACAGUGAAGGAACAUUGCAGAUUAUUCUCUUGUAACCCAGGUACGACGAUACAGGCUAUUCUCAUAUGGUGCUGUAGUAAAUUAUGACAUGCAGAUGAGCUGAAUUGUUUUGUUGUAUGAAGUUGUCUUAUACUCAGUGUUAUAUAAGUAUAUGUAAAAGGAAAUAAUUACAUUGUCUACUUUUAUUAAUUUGUUCACAUUUUCUGCUUUUGUUUCAUUUGUUUCAAUCAAUAUCCACUAUACGAUCACAGUGAAUAUUGCAUUUGUAACGGGUCACAUUCAGACCCGGGAAAAGAUCAACUGUAGAGGAACAUUGCUGAUUAUUCUCUUUUAACCCAUGUGUCAAAUAAAGCUGCUGUGAACCCUGAA